AGUAAUAUUUAAACAAUCCUCCCCUCGAGUGGGAAACAACCUGACGAAAGUCGGGCUAAUGUCCCAUAAGACCACAUUCUGGCAUCAGAGAGAGGUCAAAGGUCCGCAAGGGCCGCUGGAGGAGGAGUUUAAAUCCUAUCAUGGUAGUUGGUGAGGUAACGGCUCACCAAGCCUACGACGGGUAGCCGGCCUGAAAGGGUGAUCGGCCACACUGGCACUGAGACACGGGCCAG
rnacentral:rRNA from 1 species